AAACCAAAUCCAGCUUGCUGGGUCUUGGGCCUUUCGCCUCUGGGCGGGCCUUAAAAUCAGUGGCGGUGCUAUCUAGCUCUAAGCGUAGUAAUACUUCUCGCUAUAGAUACUAGGCGGCUUACCUGCCAAUAACACUAUUUUUCAAA
rnacentral:misc_RNA from 1 species